UACAGAGGUCCCGAGCGUUGUUCGGAUUCACUGGGCGUAAAGGGUGCGUAGGUGGUUGGGUAAGUUUGAUGUGAAAGCUCAGGGCUUAACCCUGAAAUGGCAUUGAAUACUACUCAACUGGAGGUUCGGAGGGGGGACUGGAAUUCUUGGUGUAGCAGUGAAAUGCGUAGAUAUCAAGAGGAACACCAGUGGCGAAGGCGGCUCACUGGCCCGGUACUGACGCUGAGGUGCGAAAGCGUGGGGAGCAAACAGG
rnacentral:rRNA from 1 species